GACGAACCGUGCGAACGUUGUUCGGAAUCAUUGGGCUUAAAGGGCGCGUAGGCGGGCUGGCCAGUCCGGGGUGAAAGCCCACGGCUCAACCGUGGAAGUGCCUUGGAUACUGCCGGUCUCGAGGGAGGUAGGGGCGUGCGGAACUUCCGGUGGAGCGGUGAAAUGCGUAGAUAUCGGAAGGAACACCGGUGGCGAAAGCGGCGCGCUGGACCUCUUCUGACGCUGAGGCGCGAAAGCCAGGGGAGCAAACGGG
rnacentral:rRNA from 1 species